GUCAGUGUCCUGGGAAAGAGGAGGAGGAGGAGGAACAGGAGAGGAAAACGGGAAGGAGGGAAACUCAGCCCUGGAGUUAAAAUAAACUACAAGCACGCAGAUGCCCAGGAAAGUUGAGGUAGAUCGGAGUGAACCAGCUUUAACAUCAAGUCCCUGGGAACAACUCACUGGCUACUGUUUGGCUGAUUCUUCCUGGGUCCAUGAAAACUACAAUGGAACUUGGAAAGAAGAGGACAAACUGAGGAAAGAAAAUGACAAUAUGGUACAGCUUGCAUUGUACCCCUAUCACAGCUAUCAAAUUUCCCCAGGUAAGUC
rnacentral:lncRNA from 11 species